rnacentral:rRNA from 1 species
UAAUGGCCUACCAAGACGAUGAUGUGUAGCUGGACUGAGAGGUUGAACAGCCACAUUGGGACUGAGACACGGCCCAAACUCCUACGGGAGGCAGCAGUAGGGAAUUUUCGGCAAUGGAGGAAACUCUGACCGAGCAACGCCGCGUGAAUGACGAAGUACUUCCGGUAUGUAAAGUUCUUUUAUCGAGGAAGAAAAGCAAAUGGCGAACCAUUUGUUUGCCGGUACUUGAUGAAUAAGCCCCGGCUAAUUAUGUGCCAGCAGCCGCGGUAAGACAUAAGGGGCAAGUGUUAUCCGGAAUUAUUGGGCGUAAAGGGUGCGUAGGCGGUCUAGUAAGUCAGUGGUGUAAUGGCAACGCUUAACGUUGUCCGGCUAUUGAAACUGCUAAACUUGAGUUAGAUAGAGGCGAGUGGAAUUCCAUGUGUAGCGGUAAAAUGCGUAAAUAUAUGGAGGAACACCAGAGGCGUAGGCGGCUCGCUGGGUCUUAACUGACGCUGAGGCACGAAAGCGUGGGGAGCAAACAGGAUUAGAUACCCUGGUAGUCCACGCCGUAAACGAUGAGUACUAAGUGUCGGGUUAAACCGGUACUGAAGUUAACACAUUAAGUACUCCGCCUGAGUAGUACGUACGCAAGUAUGAAACUUAAAGGAAUUGACGGGACUCCGCACAAGCGGUGGAUCAUGUUGUUUAAUUCGAAGAUACCCGAAAAACCUUACCAGGUCUUGACAUGUUUUUGCAAAAUGAUAGUAAUAUCGUGGAGGUUACCAGAAACACAGGUGGUGCAUGGUUGUCGUCAGCUCGUGUCGUGAGAUGUUAGGUUAAGUCCUAAAACGAGCGAAACCCUUAUCGUUAGUUGCCAGCACGUUAUGGUGGGGACUUUAACGAGACUGCCAAUGAUAAAUUGGAGGAAGGUGAGGAUCACGUCAAAUCAGCAUGCCCCUUAUGACCUGGGCUACAAACGUGAUACAAUGGCUGUUACAAAGGGUAGCUGAAACGCAA